rnacentral:tRNA from 1 species
UGUUCUGUGGCUUAGUUGGUUAAAGCGCCGGUCUAGCGAAUACGGAGUCGUGGGUUCAAAUCUCACCAGAACGC